ACUUAAAUUGAAGAGUUUGAUCAUGGCUCAGAUUGAACGCUGGCGGCAGGCCUAACACAUGCAAGUCGAGCGGUAGCACAGAGAGCUUGCUCUCGGGUGACGAGCGGCGGACGGGUGAGUAAUGUCUGGGAAACUGCCUGAUGGAGGGGGAUAACUACUGGAAACGGUAGCUAAUACCGCAUAACGUCGCAAGACCAAAGUGGGGGACCUUCGGGCCUCAUGCCAUCAGAUGUGCCCAGAUGGGAUUAGCUAGUAGGUGGGGUAACGGCUCACCUAGGCGACGAUCCCUAGCUGGUCUGAGAGGAUGACCAGCCACACUGGAACUGAGACACGGUCCAGACUCCUACGGGAGGCAGCAGUGGGGAAUAUUGCACAAUGGGCGCAAGCCUGAUGCAGCCAUGCCGCGUGUGUGAAGAAGGCCUUCGGGUUGUAAAGCACUUUCAGCGGGGAGGAAGGCGAUAAGGUUAAUAACCUUGGCGAUUGACGUUACCCGCAGAAGAAGCACCGGCUAACUCCGUGCCAGCAGCCGCGGUAAUACGGAGGGUGCAAGCGUUAAUCGGAAUUACUGGGCGUAAAGCGCACGCAGGCGGUCUGUCAAGUCGGAUGUGAAAUCCCCGGGCUCAACCUGGGAACUGCAUUCGAAACUGGCAGGCUAGAGUCUUGUAGAGGGGGGUAGAAUUCCAGGUGUAGCGGUGAAAUGCGUAGAGAUCUGGAGGAAUACCGGUGGCGAAGGCGGCCCCCUGGACAAAGACUGACGCUCAGGUGCGAAAGCGUGGGGAGCAAACAGGAUUAGAUACCCUGGUAGUCCACGCCGUAAACGAUGUCGAUUUGGAGGUUGUGCCCUUGAGGCGUGGCUUCCGGAGCUAACGCGUUAAAUCGACCGCCUGGGGAGUACGGCCGCAAGGUUAAAACUCAAAUGAAUUGACGGGGGCCCGCACAAGCGGUGGAGCAUGUGGUUUAAUUCGAUGCAACGCGAAGAACCUUACCUGGUCUUGACAUCCACAGAACUUUCCAGAGAUGGAUUGGUGCCUUCGGGAACUGUGAGACAGGUGCUGCAUGGCUGUCGUCAGCUCGUGUUGUGAAAUGUUGGGUUAAGUCCCGCAACGAGCGCAACCCUUAUCCUUUGUUGCCAGCGGUCCGGCCGGGAACUCAAAGGAGACUGCCAGUGAUAAACUGGAGGAAGGUGGGGAUGACGUCAAGUCAUCAUGC
rnacentral:rRNA from 1 species